ACUUCUGUUUUCCAGUCCAAAAAACUCUGAAGUUCUCAUUCCCUCUCAGUCUGAAAACUCGAUUAACAACUCAAUCUUUAGACAAAAUCUCGAUUCAUUUUAAGUGAAGAAGAUUUCUCGAUUAAAUCAAGCAAACUAUUUCGUUUUAGGUGAAGAAGAUUACAGUGUUCGCUUAAUCUAGGGUUCUUAGAAAAAUUUCUUUGUUUUGUGAGGUUUUUGCUAUAAUGGAGAGACUUUACCUAUGAGUUUUAUUUAAUUUUUGUUUUGCUUCUUAGAUAUGGGUUUUAGAGUUCUCUGAUGAUGAUGCCUUGAUGUUCUCCCUUAACAAAAAAACCCAGAAAACCCAGGUAUGAAGGAACAUGAUGAUUUAGCUCAUAGAAAAGUGUAUGUUGCUCAAAAGGGGCUUGUCAAGUAUCUUCAGUGGUUACAGUUGCAGGGAAGGAGAUGAGACAGGGGUUAGAAGAAUACACUCAAUUCAUCUUUGCAAACAGAAAGUCGUGAACACAACAUGUUUGAGGAAAUGCCUGAGUGCUAGCUGAAGUUGUUAUUACUGUGAAUAAGGGAUUGAAAGUUUUAUUUAAUGAAAUGGUCUUGCUGCAAGCUGUUGUAGGGGUAUAUGGAUUGCAGUGGAGGAACUGGUGAUUGAUGUUGACUAGAAAUGGGGAAGAUGCAAGCGCAAUGGCUAUGAAUUCAUAGCAAUUCAA